rnacentral:rRNA from 1 species
GACUAAUGCUGGCGGCGUGCCUAAUACAUGCAAGUCGAACGGGUUUAGACCCGUGGCGAACGGGUGAGUAACGCGUAGGAAGUUGCUCCGGAGUUCGGGAUAACCAGUCGAAAGGCUGGCUAACACCGAAUAGUCCCGCAAGGGUAAAAAUUUAUUGCUCCGGAAGAUGCCUGCGUCCUAUCAGUUUGUUGGUGAGGUAACGGCUCACCAAGACUAUGACGGGUAACUGGUCUGAGAGGAUGAUCAGUCACAGUGGAACUGAGACACGGUCCACACUCCUACGGGAGGCAGCAGUAGGGAAUUGUCGGCAAUGGGCGAAAGCCUGACCGCGCGACGCCGCGUGGAGGAAGAAGGCCUUAGGGUUGUAAACUUCUUUUAUGGGGGACGAUUAUGACGGUACCCCACGAAUAAGBGCCUGCUAACUACGUGCCAGCAGCAGCGGUAAUACGUAGGGCCCGAGCAUUAUCCGGAAUUAUWKGGCGUAAAGAAUGUGUAGGUGUUCCUACAAGUCGGUCGUUAAAUCUCACUGCCCAACAGUGAGGCCGCGAGCGAAACUGUAGGAAUUGAGGUUUGCAGGGGCAAGUAGAAUUCUUGGAGUAGAGGUGAAAUUCGUUGAUACCAAGAGGAAUACCAAUGGCGAAGGCAGCUUGCUGGGCAAUACCUGACACUGAGACAUGAAAGCGUGGGGAGCAAACGGGAUUAGAUACCCCGGUAGUCCACGCCGUAAACGAUGUCAACUAGCAAUUGGAAGAGUCGACCCUUUCAGUCGCGAAGCUAACGCGUCAAGUUGACCGCCUGGGAAGUACGAUCGCAAGAUUAAAACUCAAAGGAAUUGGCGG